CAUCAAGAGAGAUCGAGGGACUGGCCCGUUGACAUCUCAGCAACCUACUUUUAUAGUGUGGUGCUAACUCCUGUUAGAUGGAAGGAUAA
rnacentral:ncRNA from 1 species